rnacentral:rRNA from 1 species
GUUUUAUUGAAAAUAAUUUUAAGUCAAUCUGCCCAAGGAAUAAUUUAAAUGGCUGCAGUAUAAUUGACUGUACAAAGGUAGCAUAAUCAAUUGAUUUUUAAAUGAAAUCUGGAAUGAAAGGAUUAAUGAAAUAUAUACUGUCUCAUAUAUAUUUUAUAAAUUUAAAAUUUUAAUAAAAAUGUUAAAAUUUUUUUAUGGGACGAUAAGACCCUAUAGAAUUUUAUAUUAAAUUUUUUUUAUUUUAAAUUAAAAUUAUUUUUAAUAUUUAAUUGGGAGAAUUGUAAAAUUUAAUAAAUUUUUAUAAAAAAAUAACUUAAAUUUAAGAAAAUAUCGUGAAUUUUUAUUAAAAAUUAAUAGAUUAAAUUACCUUAGGGAUAACAGCGUAAUAUUUUUUUAUAGAUCGUAUAGAAAAAAAUGAUUGCGACCUCGAUGUUGAAUUAAGAUAAAUUUUAAAUGCAGGAGUUUAAUAAUUAAGUCUGUUCGACUUUUAAAAUCUUACAUGAUUUGAGUUCAAAUCGACGUAAGU